GACGUAGGGCGCGAGCGUUGUCCGGAUUUAUUGGGCGUAAAGAGCGUGUAGGCGGCCAGAAAAGUCCGCUGUGAAAACCCGGGGCUCAACCCCGGGCGUGCAUUCGAUACUGCGCGGCUCGAGACAGGUAGGGGAGAUCGGAAUUCCUGGUGUAGCGGUGAAAUGCGCAGAUAUCAGGAGGAACACCGGUGGCGAAGGCGGAUCUCUGGGCCUGUUCUGACGCUGAGGCGCGAAAGCUAGGGGAGCGAACAGG
rnacentral:rRNA from 1 species